GGUGGUGUGGCUCAGUGGUUAAAGCGUUUCCUUUCGGACGGCAGUCUUGUAUAUAUGUUAUUGGGUCCCCGAGAACGGUGGCGAUGAUAGCAACAAGGCACCCACGCCCCCUUGGAGAAGGUCCCCGGUUCGAUUCCGGGCACCACCA